rnacentral:tRNA from 1 species
GCCCUGGUGGUGCAAUGGUUAAGCACUUGGCUGGUAACCAAAGGGUCAGUGGUUCAAACCCACCCAGGGGCU